AGGCCUUCAUUCUGUGUUCUAGUGCACAACGAGGGUGACGACGGUUGGCAAGACUGUACUGGAGAGUCCAGAACAACUAGAACAGAGGAUUUGGAAUAUUCUUAGCACAACACAUAAAUGCAAGAGGUGAUGGCUGAUUAUCCUGAUUGGAUAUCACACAAGGAACCAGCUGUACUGUGGGCAUACUGCAGCAAGAGAAGGAGUUUGAAUGAACGACAUCAGCGUGGAGCCCACGAUGAGGAGACAAAGAGUAUCCAGCAACGACUUAGACUUGAGUCUUCCACUGCAGAAACUCCAGCUCAGCUGAUGCAGUGGAUAGAAUUAUAUUGUUACUAGAACAAAAUACCUGAGACAAGCAGCGAGUGAAGGAAAGAGAGACUUACUUGGCUCAUGGUUUUGGAGGAUCAAGUCCAAGAUCAUGUGGGCCCUGUUGCUUUGGCUUCUGUAGGUGAUGGCAAUGGUGCAGCACUCGUGGAGGGAGGGUCACGCAGUGAGCCAGGGAGCACAGAGAGAGACCAGACACAGCUCUCUCAUGAGAACUAGCUUCCGAGGGAAAAGCAUGCAUUUGUUCUUUGGAGCUUCGUGCAGUGCCAAGGGUCGGGGCAAGGGAGGCAUGACCAGCCCUGAUAGUUUUCUCUUCAGAUCAUCACCACAGCCAAGAAUCAGGCUCAACCCCAGAAUAUUCAUCUUCACUCCCGUAGACAUCACUCAAGUCAUGGCAGAUACCAUGAAUGACCAGAAGGAAUGGGAACCCCAAAUAGUUCUGGCCGAGUCAAGAGGUUCAGAAUUUCUGUUUCUUAAAUUCAAGGCUAAUAAAUGACUGAUUCAUAAAAUGAAAAAAAAAAAAAAAGGUGGGGAGGAGGUCUGGCUACGUGUCUGGCCCCUGAGUGAUGACAAGUUCAUUUGGGAAGUACUCCAGAUCACGGUUGCACCCCAGAACACAUUUUCUGCACCCCUGAGCUGAGCUGUCCUUGCACAAGAAAUCACGUCUGGUUUUAUCAGUUCAACACAUCACGAAACACAUCUUUUCUGGCCCAGGAAACUGGUAGAUCAAGGAAUACAGAGUACAUGGGCAGCAUUUUCAAGGAGUAUGGAGUCAAGUCUGGGAAACCAGUUGUCCGGUCUCCUUCUCACUGCUACAAAGAAAGCAUGUCAGAGCCUUUGCUGAUAUCUACAACAGGCUGCCCGUAAUGUCAAGUUUACUUGGCUGGAGGUCAUUAAUCAACCCUAGCUGUCAGUUUCAGAAGGAGUCGGCUAACCAGGCACAUCUCAAUUAUUUGCUGUCUGCAUAUUGCAUCAUGUAAUGGCCAUUUAGGAUCUGUGCUCCUGAAGCCUUCCUGGACAGAGACGUGCUCACACCUCCAGAACAUUCCAGGCAUGCUUCCUGGCGGAGCUCAAUUGCUCCUGACUCUCUGCACUGUGCUAAAUGAGGCGAGAUUUAUACUCAGGGAUUUUAGCCUGUCAAUCUGCUCGCUCCCCAAAGACACUUUGAAUGCACAGCAAACAAUGGGGCUCCUUAAGAUGAGCUAAUUUAUCCUUCUUAUGGUUGGCAUCUCCUUGGAAAAAGACUUCUGUCAGCCUUCUAAUUCUUUGUUCUUCCACCAAUGUAUCACCUUUUUACGUUUUCUUUUUACGUCUAAUGCUUUCACUGGAUUUAGGGCGGUGUGUCUUGUUUGGUAAAAAUGCUAAUAAUCGCCUUAGGUGAUGUAGAUUUCAUGAUGUCUUAAAAUCUCUCUUUGUUCCACCAGCAUCUCUAUCUGACUUUGAUAUCACCCUGGUGGGUGUUGUACAGGGAAUACGUAUAUAGAACGAAUUCACUCACUCUUUUUCUCUCCCUCUCUUUUUAAAAUUUAUUUAUUUGAAACUCAGCAUUAGAACGGGAUAAGGGGGAAGAAAGAGAAAGAGAGUUAUAUAUCUUGCAUCCAUUGGUUCACUCCCCAGAUGACCAAAAUGACUAGGGCUGGGCCACGCAAAAGCUAGGAGCCAGGAGCUUCUUCCAGGUCUCCCACAAGGGUGCAGGGGUCCAAGCACUUGGGCCAUUUCCCGCUGCUUUCCAGGCCAUUAGCAGGUUGCUGGAUCAGAAGUGGAGCAGCCGGGACAUGAACCAUCUUCCAUAUCAGAUGCCAACAUGGCACCUUUCCUUGCUACACCACAGUUCCAGCCCCCUCUCUCAUUUUUUUAAGGGUUUGACUUUUUUUUUUCUUUAUUUUCAUUUUAUUUGAAAGGCAGCAAGAGAAUGACAGAGACAGAAACAGACUGAGAGAGAGAGCUUCCAUCCUCUGUUCAUUUCUCAAAUGCUCACCAGCCAGGGUUAGGCCAGACCAAGCCAGAACUCAAUCCAGGGCUCCCACAUGUUGGUGGUGACCCAACUACUUGAACCAUCAGCACUGCCUCCUAGAAGCAGGAAUCAAAGAGGAACUGGGACUUGAACCUGGCACUCCGAUACAGGAUGUGGACUCCCCAGGAGCCAUCUUAGCCAGUCUUAACCAGAGCCCCCCUCUUUCCCUUUCUUUUAACAUGCACACAUGCAUGCCCACAUCACGCAUCCAGACUCACGAAAGCACAGGUGGUUCACAGCGAUGGAUGGCUAUACCAGAAAAGACACAGGACUUUCUUCAUACUGGGAGGGUGUCCGAGAAAGGGUGUUUGCCGUCUGGAUCUGUUAGGAUCUAGGCAGAGAAGAGAUGACACUCACAUAAUAAUCCAAGAACAUCUCAUCAGAGGUGCUUUUAACAAAUAUGGGGGAAAGAUUUGGGGAAACUGGUGCAAAGGAGUGGGGGGCCUUGGGACACAGGGUCCGUAGGUGUGGGAGCCCCUCUCCCACCAGGGAAUGGUUUGGAGGAGGUUGCCCUUUAGGGAUUAAGGACUUCAGGAACAGGAGUGGCCAGCCUCAGCAAGCGGCAGACAGAGCCAGGCUGCAGGUAGCCGAACUCCUCUGCGUGACCCUGUGGCCACACCUGCCCAGGGGGCCGAGGGGCGUGGGUGGCCCCGGCACCCAGAGUGGAGAAGGAUCUGCAGAGACCGGGGUGUCUGGACUCGUUUGUCGGCUCAGGGGUGGUGUUUUAGGGUAUUGGUGGGUUAUUUGCUGUGCACUCUGCUACGCCUCCCAGAAUGUGAGGUGAGCUGACAUUGUUACUGUCACCUGCAGAAGCAUGUCUGGAAAAGAGCUCCCGCCACUCCUGCGCACUCAGAAGACGAGGUCUGCCGGUCACCACAGGACAUUUGCACAGCAUGGGACUCUUGUGCCGAGCCUCUGAGGUGUGCAAACUCAGAGUACAGAGGGGUCUUUCCAACACAGAGCUGCUUCACUCCACACUGCACCACUUAGCACAAAUGCAUCCGUCCCAGCUGAUAGCUCGUGCUCUCUCUCUCUCUCUCUCUCACUCACACACACACACACACACACACACACCUCACUCACUGUCUCAAGACGUAGAUCAUUUCCAUGGUCACUAAGACCCAGGGUGAUGGACAUUCUUACAGUGGUUACAAAGACAUGCGGUAGAAACUCUGUAUCACCUGAAUGGGGAAAUAUGAUCCUUGAAAGUAGUUGGACCUUAGCCCAAAGCCUAGGAACAAGACCCAAGAGGAACUUGUCUUUUUGUAGCUAAGACACAUACAGUCCCUAGCAACCAACUGUCCUGAACCCGACAACAACUUAAGCAAUGAGAAAUACAUAGUUUUGUUUGCUUGUUGCUUUUUCUUUUCUAAGAAAGGAAGCACUCGGUUUUUUUUUAAUAUUUUUAUUUUAUUUUUAUUUUUUUAUUAUUUUUUUGAAAGGCAGAGUGGACAGUGAGAGAGAGAGACAGAGAGAAAGGUCUUCCUUUGCCACUGGUUCACCCUCCAAUGGCCGCUGCUGCCGGCGCACAGCGCUGAUCCGAAGGCAGGAGCCAGGUGCUUCUCCUGGUCUCCCAUGGGGUGCAGGGCCCAAGGACUUGGGCCAUCCUCCACUGCACUCCUGGGCCACAGCAGAGAGCUGGACUGGAAGAGGGGCAACCGGGACAGACUCUGGCGCCCCGACCAGGACUAGAACCCGGUGUGCCGGCGCUGCUAGGUGGAGGAUUAGCCUAUUGAGCCACAGCGCCGGCCUGAAGCACUCGUUUCUUUUUUUUAAGACAUUUAGAUCUCAUUUUGGAUCUAAAGACACAAGAGACAAACUAAACGACGUCUCGAGGUCCCAAUGAAAAGACGAAGAGCCUCCUUCUGGAACAUUCUGUCCACCUAGGAGGGUUUGACUGUGGUCCCUGCCAGACAAAAGAGAGAAGGUGGAGACCUCGUGAGGCUCGUAUUUUUUCAUUACAGAGACAGAGACAGACAUGCUGUCUGCUGCUUCCCACUCCACAGCCCUGUGACAGCCAGGCCAGAACCAGCAGCCUGGAACUCAGUGUGACCCUCCCACGUGAGUGACAAGAACUUGGGCCAUCCCCGGUUGUCUGCCAGGUGCUCCUGAUCAGGGAGCUCUAAUGGGAAGCAGAGCGGCACCAGCACCCAGGCACGCCGGCGUGAGCUGCGGUGUCCCAAGAAGCUUCUUACCUGCUACACCAAAUACCUUCCCUAGAUGUGUGGUUUUUAUUAUUAUUAUUGUGAAACAAACUCUGCUCAAAGCUACAGUGAAUAUGGACUGGAACAAGGAGAGUCACAAACAGCAUUAAAAGCUAAUGAAAAAUCAGCUUUACAUAUGCAAAACAGCAACAGAAAAGUUAACAGAAGACAAGAAAUCAUGUUAUGCUAGCUUCAGUUAAGACGUAGGUAUUUGCCCUGUAUUUUAAUCUAAUCAUUCUUAGAUUUUUUUUUUUUUUAACAUGGGCAAGGGCUACAAACCAAAUAAUAACCAAAUAACCAAAUGGGAAGAUGAUCAUUUCACCCAAGCACAGUACAUUUUAAAAUCAUCACAGAUCAGGGUAGGCAUUGUAGUGUAACACAUACAGCUGCCGUUUGUGACACCGGCAUCCCCUAUGGACGCUAAUUCAAGUCCUGGCUGUUCCACUUCCGUCCAGCUUCCUGCUAAUGUGCCUAGGAAAGCAGCGGAGGAUGGCCACGUGUUUGAGCCCCUACCACUCACAUCAGACCCCAAAAGAAGCUCCUGGCUCCUGGUUUCAGUCUUGGCCCAAUCCUGGCCAUUGUAGCCAUCUGGAGAGUGAACCAGCAGAUGCAAGACCUCUCUCUUCUGGCUCUCCCUCAGUCUUUGUAACUCUUUCAAAUAAAUAAUUCAUUUUUAAAAAUCAUCGAUCAUUACAACUAUAGCAGGCGUGUGACUUGGUAAAGUAGAUGCACCUGCUCUGAGCGAUGUCAGGAACUGCCACCGAGUCGGACAGAUUUGAGAGACAGCAGGGUCCCCGCCGUUCAACACAGAAUCUUGCUGAGGACUUCAUGAGCCUCUGACGCCCAGACGUGGUGCACACAAAAUUACACGGGGCCCUUUGUUUCCAUUUACCUGAACCACAGCUUGAAAAAAAUCAUCAUGUGAACUUUUUCAGGGCUCUCAGUCUAACAUUUGCCUAGCAAACACAGUCUAGAUAAAGAAAGAAGCGCGUAGCGUCUGUGGAAGCGAAAGACGUUUCUAUCAGAAUCGACUUCUCGGAACAGCCGAGGGGAGAGCACUUUAAAAGCCAUUGCUCAGGAGACAGGAGCAGAAACGUGGACUCUGUGCAUUGCACGUAGACUAGAGGGGUUAAAUCCUCAGCAGCUGAACACUUCAUUCUACAAGGCGCCUGCCCUGGCCUUGCAGGCAUUGCUUGUGUGCCCCCAGCAGCGCGUGAGUCUGGGUGUGCCUUCUAUGCUGCCAUCCAGUUCCCAGGCACAGUGGGACCCCAGCACCUGGCCCCACAUCAAGAACCUGUAGCCGGGGGGCCGGCACUGUGGCACAGUGGGUUAAUGCCCUGACCUAAAGCGCCAGCAUCCUAUAUGGGUACCGUUUCUAGUCCUGGCUGCUCCACUUCUGAUCCAGCUCUCUGCUAUGGGCUGGGAAAGCAGUAGAAGAUGACCCAAGUCUUUGGGUCCCUGCACCCGCAUGGGAGACCAGGAGGAAGCUCCUGGCUUCAGAUCAGCUCAGCUCCAACUGUUGUGGCUAUUUGGGAAGUGAAACAGCAGAUGGAAGACCUCCCUCUCUCUUUCUCUCUCUGUCUGUAACUCUGCCUCUCAAAUAAAUAAAUAAAUGUGUUUU